rnacentral:rRNA from 1 species
UACAGAGACUGCAAGCGUUUAUUCGGAUUCACUGGGCGUAAAGGGUGCGCAGGCGGCCGUGUGUGUGAGGCGUGAAAGCCCGGAGCUCAACUCCGGAAUUGCACCUCAAAACUACACGGCUAGAGCAUUGGAGAGGGUAGCGGAAUUCACGGUGUAGCAGUGAAAUGCGUAGAUAUCGUGAGGAACACCAGAGGCGAAAGGCGGCUACCUGGGACAAUUGCUGACGCUCAGGCACGAAAGCGUGGGGGAGCAAAAAGGG